rnacentral:rRNA from 1 species
UACAGGGGGGGCAAGCGUUAAUCGGAAUUACUGGGCGUAAAGCGUGCGCAGGCGGUUUUUUAAGUCUGUUGUGAAAUCCCCGGGCUCAACCUGGGAAUGGCGAUGGAGACUGCAAGGCUAGAGUUUGGCAGAGGGGGGUAGAAUUCCACGUGUAGCAGUGAAAUGCGUAGAGAUGUGGAGGAACACCGAUGGCGAAGGCAGCCCCCUGGGUCAAAACUGACGCUCAUGCACGAAAGCGUGGGGAGCAAACAGG